UAACCGUGCGCGUUUCCCCGCAGACAAAACUUUUCCAGGCCAGUUGGAGCAGAAAGCUUCCUCCCUUUUCAUGACUCGCUUCUUGAUGAGCCUAGUUAAGUGUCCCUGUAUGAAGAUGCUCGGUUUAAAGAGAUAAAGCAGAACAGGCCACGCAUAUCCGCAAAGAACAGCGUUUGAUCAGGGAGUUUUGUCUUUUUAAUGGCUGUAAAUUGCCACAUUUGGUAAACUCAUUGUCUUUCCCCAUAUUUCAUAGCGCAGGAUAUUAGCAGGCAGGUUUGCUGCCUUUUCUUUUUCUUUUUUGCGAGUGGGGUAAAAGACGCCUUGCCCACAGGACUGAGGUUGUUGUCACGCCUUCUACGGACAAGGAGGCAGGUUCACACAGUCGGUGAUCUCGGGACGUACAGUAAAUGUACUGUUGAUGUUGAUGUUUGGCAGCCAUGGGGACUGGAAUAGAUAUUAGACACAUUUAUCCGCGUUUUAAAGGUGUAGCAAAUAGAAUAAUUUAAUAUUAAUUCGCAGUGGCACCCUUUCAAGAAACCUUACUCAUUAUUUUUAUUUUUAUUUUUAUUUUUUUAUCUUCUUUUUUGUCAGCUUUUCCCAAACCAAGGAACAUCUCAGUAUCUCCGAGAGAAACUUUUUCAGGGCUUUGUCGGAUUGACUCUUCAAGCAGUAAUGGCCACUGCCCGGCUUGAUUAUGUAGCUCCGUGGUGGACAUACUGGCUGCACAAUUUCCCACACUUCAAUUUUCUUUUCCAGUCGGUCGACAACACUUUCAGACCGGAGGAGGCGAGCUAUCAGCAGUCUCUGAUAUUUCUGGCUUGCAUUGGUGCUGUCGGGCUUGGUCUGAGCAUCAUAGCUCUGGCUGUGUACUUGGUGUGUUUGUGCUGCUGCCGACGGAGCCUGGAUGAAGAAACCAAACGGCCCGAUACCUGUUGUGUCACUUGGGUUGCAGUUAUAACUGGUCUCAUUGUAUGUUCUGCUGUAGGGGUGGGUUUCUAUGGGAACAGCGAGACCAAUGAUGGGGUCUACCAGCUGACCUAUUCGCUCUACAAUGCCAAUCACACCCUGGAUGGUAUCAACAGUCUGGUUGCAGGAGCUCGGAGCAAUGUGGAAGCUGGACUUAAACAGCACAUAGAAAGGCUGGAUGAGAUCUUUGCCUCAAGGGCAGAGUACCUCCAGGCUCUGCGCUUCCUACAGCUAAUGGUCAACAACAUCAUCCGUGAGCUGACAGCUCUGCCAGAUAUCAACAAAACCAAAAUUGACUUGGCAGCCAUUGCAGACCAGACUGCUUUCAUUGAGUAUUACAGAUGGCUGACUUAUCUGCUGCUGCUGAUCCUUGACCUGGUCAUCUGCUUGGUCAUGUGCUUGGGGAUAGCUAAGCAGUCUCAAUGUCUGCUGAUCACGGUCUUUGGUUUUGUGAUACCAUCCUUGAUUCUAAGCUGGGCUUCACUAGGAACUGGCACUGCGACAGCUGUGGGCACAAGCGACUUCUGUGUGUCUCCAAAUAAAUUCAUUGUUAACCAAACCAAGGAUUUCCUCACCGCAGAUGUUGCACACUAUUAUUUGUUCUGCAGUCCGAAUCUACAAAACCCCUUCCAGCAGUCACUAACAAUCUGCCAGCGCUCUCUGACCACUAUGCAAAUCCAGAUCCAGGGCCUGUUACAGUUCUCCUUGCCCAUUUUUCCCACGGCUCAGAGAGACCUUUUAGGGAUCCAGCGGCUGUUAAACUCCACAGAGUUCAAUGUUCACCAGCUAACAGCCUUGCUUGACUGCCGCGGGAUACAUAAGGACUACCUGGACGCCCUAAUGGGUGUGUGCUAUGAUGGAGUGGAAGGGCUCCUCUACCUCUCCUUGUUUUCUCUUCUGGCUGCCUGCUCGCUCUCUGCCAUAUUGGGUGUAAUUUUCCGACUGUGGACAUUAAUGGGAAGCAGGGAGAAAGAGUACAACGACAUCGACGAGGAAGACCCGUUCAACCCCCAAGCGCGCCGGCUGUCGUUUGACCCCAGGAGGUCCAACACGCACAGUUUCUGCAGUUACAUCAGCAGCCUUGGCAGCCAGGCCAGCCUUCAUCCACCUCCUCAGUCUUCUUCUAACUCCACAAUACAACCUCCUGAAUAUAUGAAUCAGUCCAUGCUGUUUGGGGGAACCCCUCGAUAUGAAAAUGUGCCGCUCAUUGGGGGAGGAUCUCCACCUCCUUCGGUUCGUUGGCCUUAUGAGGCUCUAGGGACCAUAGUCUGAUAGUAAUGAUCAGAAACAACAGCAUUCAGAAUGAACGUAAUGCCAAUGCAGUGCACACAACCUCACAGGGUCAGCAUCCACUCGUGGGACUUGUGUUGUUGUGUUGUGACUGAAGAGUAGCCUCUGCUGGCCACUUGUAGAAGUGCGUCUCAUGUGUAGCUAUCUCUUGUGCUCUGUUAAUAUCCUGUAUUUUUGACUCGCCAAAAAAUAAUUUAUUUGUUAUUUAAGAAAUCACACCUUUUGCUCACCUCAUGAAAAUUAUCUCAAUUAGUUAAGCACCACACGUUUUGAUGCAGAUUAGUAAAACCCCCUUAAUUGUUGCAUUCUGUGUUUUGUCUCCAGAGCUUAGGGGGUAAAUAAUAGAUAACAGAUGGAGCACAAAUAAAUACACAGUCCACAUCUCUGCUGUGUGAUGUUUUCUUUCUGCUAAGUUUUUUUUCUUUCUUUCUUUUUUUGCUUCUGUGGCUUCAGCAGCCUUAACAGCAUACCAAAGACUAAAAACACAAUUUGAGUGGGUGAAGGCAGACGAGAAUCUGGAUCAUUGUCUAAAAUGUUGCUCUGUGAGGCACGCUGUUAUCUGCUAGAGACAUCUCUUAUCUCUUUUCUCAUGACAGAGAAGCUUGUAGCUUUAAAAAAAAUGGCUUUAAUAAAAUCUUCACUUUGCUUACGCUUGUGUUUAUGGUUUGGGGUUUUUCUUUAGUUUUAGCGUAUCAGCUUUUCUGCCUCUUUGCUUUUUAGGUUGUUUUUUUUUUGUACAAGUAGUUUGUCAGUGGCAUGUCUAACCACUUUGAAAAACUUUUCUUUUUUUUUCUCGACUCAGACUUUAAUAACUGUAAGUUUUUAAUGACCUUUUUCCUUCUCACUUGUUUGCAUUCACCUACGUUCCAUCUUUUUCACACGCACCUUAGAGUCCUAAUCGUGUUUGUGCAAAAUAUUGUAACUUUUACCUAGUUGACACUCAGCAACCCCAACUUUGACCUUCUGGCCCUGUUCGAAUGUUGCAUUAUUCACCCAGUAUGAGGACCACCUACCUGUCCAUGAAUGAUUCACAGAUCCGACACUUGAGGACUGAUUUC